rnacentral:rRNA from 1 species
UACGUAGGGUGCGAGCGUUGUCCGGAAUUACUGGGCGUAAAGAGCUCGUAGGUGGUUUGUCGCGUUGUCCGUGAAAACUCACAGCUUAACUGUGGGCGUGCGGGCGAUACGGGCAGGCUAGAGUUCGGUAGGGGAGACUGGAAUUCCUGGUGUAGCGGUGAAAUGCGCAGAUAUCAGGAGGAACACCAAUUGCGAAGGCAGGUUACUACUAAUUGAUUGACGCUGAUGGACGAAAGCGUGGGGAGCGAACAGG